rnacentral:rRNA from 1 species
UACGUAGGGGGCUAGCGUUGUCCGGAAUCAUUGGGCGUAAGGCGCGUGUAGGCGGCCCGGUAAGUCCGCUGUGAAAGUCGGGGGCUCAACCCUCGGAUGCCGGUGGAUACUGUCGGGCUCGAGUACGGAAGAGGCGAGUGGAAUUCCUGGUGUAGCGGUGAAAUGCGCAGAUAUCAGGAGGAACACCUAUUGCGAAGGCAGCUCGCUGGGACGUCACUGACGCUGAGACGCGAAAGCGUGGGGAGCAAACAGG